rnacentral:rRNA from 1 species
AGCAGCCGCGGCAAUUCCAGCUCCAAUAGCGUAUAUUAAAGUUGUUGCAGUUAAAAAGCUCGUAGUUGAAUUUCGGGAUUGACGUGACGGUCGUGCCUUACGGGGUAUGAACUGUCGCCGUUGAUUUCUCACCUUCUGGAGAAGCUCGAUGUCCUUAAUUGGGUGUCUUGCGGAACCAGGACCUUUACCUUGAAAAAUUAGAGUGUUUAAAGCAGGCAUUAUUGCUCGAAUACAUUAGCAUGGAAUAAUAGAAUAGGACGGCAUGGUUCUAUUUUGUUGGUUUCUAGGAUCACCGUAAUGAUUAAUAGGGAUAGUUGGGGGCAUUAGUAUUCAAUUGUCAGAGGUGAAAUUCUUGGAUUUAUUGAAGACUAACUACUGCGAAAGCAUUUGCCAAGGAUGUUUUCAUUAAUCAAGAACGAAAGUUAGGGGAUCGAAGACGAUCAGAUACCGUCGUAGUCUUAACCAUAAACUAUGCCGACU